rnacentral:rRNA from 1 species
UAACCAUUUGGAGCUAGCCGUCGAAGGUGGGACAAAUGAUUGGGGUGAAGUCGUAACAAGGUAGCCGUAUCGGAAGGUGCGGCUGGAUCACCUCCUUUCUAAGGA